rnacentral:rRNA from 1 species
UACGUAGGGGGCAAGCGUUGUCCGGAUUCAUUGGGCGUAAAGAGCGUGUAGGCGGCCAGGUAGGUCGGUUGUGAAAACUGGAGGCUCAACCUUCAGAGGUCGACCGAAACCAUCUGGCUAGAGUCCCGGAGAGGGGAGUGGAAUUCCUGGUGUAGCGGUGAAAUGCGUAGAUAUCAGGAGGAACACCGGUGGCGAAGGCGGGUCUCUGGGCAGUAACUGACGCUGAGGAGCGAAAGCGUGGGGAGCGAACAGG